rnacentral:rRNA from 1 species
UACGAAGGGGACUAGCGUUGUUCGGAAUCACUGGGUGUAAAGCGCGCGUAGGCGGAUGUGUCAGUCAGGGGUGAAAUCCCGGGGCUCAACCUCGGAACUGCCUUUGAUACAGCACGUCUCGAGUCCGGAAGAGGUGGGUGGAAUUCCUAGUGUAGAGGUGAAAUUCGUAGAUAUUAGGAAGAACACCGGUGGCGAAGGCGGCCCACUGGUCCGGUACUGACGCUGAGGUGCGAAAGCGUGGGGAGCAAACAGG